rnacentral:rRNA from 1 species
UACAGAGGUCUCAAGCGUUGUUCGGAUUCAUUGGGCGUAAAGGGUGCGUAGGUGGCGCUGUAAGUCGGGUGUGAAAUUUCGGAGCUUAACUCCGAAACUGCAUUCGAUACUGCGGUGCUUGAGGACUGGAGAGGAGACUGGAAUUCAUGGUGUAGCAGUGAAAUGCGUAGAGAUCAUAGGAACACCAAUGGCGAAGGCAGCUCGCUGGAACGGUACUGACGCUGGAGGCGCGAAAGCGUGGGGAGCGAACAGG